UGAGGAAUAUUGGUCAAUGGGCGCAAGCCUGAACCAGCCAUCCCGCGUGAAGGAAGAAGGCCCUAUGGGUUGUAAACUUCUUUUCCAGGGGGAGAAUUUUUCCGUCGUGACGGGAAUUGACGGUACUCUGGGAAUAAGCAUCGGCUGACUCCGUGCCAGCAGCCGCGGUAAUACGGAGGAUGCGAGCGUUAUCCGGAUUUAUUGGGUUUAAAGGGUGCGUAGGCGGAUUGAUAAGUCAGUGGUGAAAGGCUGCAGCUUAACUGUAGACUUGCCGUUGAUACUGUCAGUCUUGAGUAUGGUCAAGGCAGGCGGAAUGUGUAAUGUAGCGGUGAAAUGCUUAGAUAUUACACAGAACACCGAUUGCGAAGGCAGCUUGCUGGGCCAUUACUGACGCUGAUGCACGAAAGCGUGGGGAUCGAACAG
rnacentral:rRNA from 1 species